CGGCCGUCUCGGCGCCAACGUGGACCACGCUCUUCACAAGUUCACAGACUUAGAGCCGAGGCAGGCUCAAGGGAAGACGCAGAGCUUCAGCUGGCAACUCCUUGAUGUAGGUGGAGCGGAUGUUGCCCUGUUGUUUUCCAGACGGAGCCGAAGUCCAGACAGGCUAAGGACCUCGGCAGAGAUCACGGGGUCAGCAGCCAGGGGGGCUUCCAGAACCGCCGAGGACGCAGGCCUCACCUGUGGCUUGAGUCUCCACGCGCACCGUCUUGGAGAAGAGGCGGCUGCAAUACUUCAGCUUUUUUAAAAGGCUUAGCAAUACCUAUAAGCGAGAAUGGAUGCCUUUCCGUGCUGCAUCUCUUUCCUGCGUAGUUUUCAGAGUGGUAAAAUCAAGAUCUUCAGCCCCAGCUCCUACUCAGUGUUUGCAAAGACACGGAGCAGAAAUGUCCUCCUCUCCUUGUAACAGGC
rnacentral:lncRNA from 1 species